UGUGUUACAUAGCAUAUUCAGUGAUAGA
rnacentral:piRNA from 1 species